GAGGGUAUAGCUCAACUGGUAGAGCGCAUGCUUAGCAUGCAUGAGGUCCUGGGUUCAAUCCCCAGCACCUCCA
rnacentral:tRNA from 1 species